rfam:Beta vulgaris subsp. vulgaris Bvchr5_un.sca001.con0016.1, whole genome shotgun sequence.
GGGUACCCCGGGGACCCUAGGGAGGUCCAGGACGAAAAAACUCGCCGGGCUUCGGGUUGUCGGAAAAUGGCUCGAAAACUGGAAAAAACGUGGAUUAUAGUACACGACUCCGGGAGCCCGCGGGGCCCGGGCACCGGUCCCAAUGGGGUGCCUCCCAGGGCCGUGGGAGGCCCUUUGAAGGCACACUCGUGCUGUGGAAGGGUCAUGUGGUGCCGUUUGGAGGCCCUCCUAGGCCUAGCUAAGGGUUGUGCCGAGCGAGCUAAGGGAAGGCAAAAGUGGGAAGAGAAUGAAAGUCCGAGGAAUACGGGGGAUGAUUCGGCACCGGGGGGGUUGAUUCGCACAAUUGGUAAUCGCGCUUAGUUGAAAAGCCAGUGGCUCGAAGCUACCGUGCGCUGGAUUAGGACUGAACGCCUCUAAGUCAGAAUCCGGGCCAGAAAAAAAAAAUACCUAUAUUUCACCAUUUUUUGGCCUAUUUUUGCCCAUUACCCGUCAAAAUGUGUUAUUUUUUGAAAAAAAAUACGUAAAUUAAGUACACGUCGAGACAUAUUUUUCAAGAUUUUUCCCAAAUCACCCUCUAUCUUUCCCUAUUUUUCUCCUUAUUUUGCCCAUUUUCCGCAUAAAAUUUUGUUCUUUCCAGAAAAAAAAUAAUAUUUAAAUUAUAUAUACCUCCCAAAGUAUUUUUGCAUAAUUUUCCAGAUUUUUCCCUAUUUUCCCUCUAUUUUUCGUUAUUUUCUCCAAUUUUCGCAACAUUUAGCCCAUUUUCCACAAAAAAAAUGAUUUUUUUCCAAAAAAAAAAACCUAAAAAAACUUCAUCUCAUAUACAGUGGAUUCAUGAAGAAAAAACUGGGCACUAUUAUAUAAUUUUCGUGAGUAAAAGGUCGUGUGAUUCUACCGUCAAAAGUGUGUUCAUUGGGGAAAUAACCAUAUUCCCCACUAAAUCUCUUUAGGGCGUAGUGAUUGAUGAUGCUCUAGGCCUGCCCAUGGGCCAUGGCUGCUUGGUGCUUGCACCUUGCACGGUGCCCUUGUGGUGCAUGAAACGGUUGGGCCCCAUUUGGUUCUUGGUGGCGCAUGUUAGCUUGUUUCUUCGAAUUCCGUGGUGCUUGAUGGUGCGCCGCGCCCGCGAGGUGCAUGGGGGUGGUUGGGCCCCACUUAGUGCUUAGUGCUUGGUGGUGUACGUGAUGCUUUACGAUGCACCACACCCUUGUGGUGCAUGAAACGUGGCGCAUGGUAGCUUGAUUCUUCGUAUUGCAUUGUGCUCGGUGGUGCAUGGGUUGUUGGGCCUCUUAUAGUGCUUGGUGGUGUGCUUGAAGGUGCACACACACACGCGCACGCUAUGGAUGGCAAUGGGGCGGGUCUGGGUCGGGUCCACCUAGACCCAGACCCAGACCCGUUUAUUUUUCAUAGACCCAGACCCGUUGGGUCUAGAUUUUUCAGACCCAUACCCAGACCCGCUGGGUCUAGCGGGUCCAUGGGUCCUUACUGGGUCCUAAAUGGGUCCUUCUUAGUUUUAAGUUUUCAUCACAUUUUUAAAUAUAUGUAAUUAAAAAUUUUCCUCCUAAUAUAUAUAGGUUCUUGUAUCCAUGGGAGCUUUGGCGCAAGUGAAAUACCACUACUUUUUAGACCUAAGGUCCGCUUUGCGAGCCGAUCCGGGCGGAGGACAUUGUCAGGGGGGUGUUUGGCUGGGGAGGCACAUCUGUUAAAAUAUAACGCAGGUGUCCUAAGAUGAGCUCAACGAGAACAGGAAAUCUCGUGUGGAACAGGAUGGUGAAAGCUCGUUUGAUUCUGAUUUUCAGUACGAAUACGAACCGUGAAAGCGUGGCCUAACGAUCCUUUAGACAUUCGGAAUUUGAAGCUAGAGGUGUCAGAAAAGUUACCACAGGGAUAACUGGCUUGUGGCAGCCAAGCGUUCAUAGCGACGUUGCUUUUUGAUCCUUCGAUGAUGGCUCUUCCUAUCAUUGUGAAGCAGAAUUCACCAAGUGUUGGAUUGUUCACCCACCAAUAGGGAACGUGAGCUGGGUUUAGACUGUCGUGAGACAGGUUAGUUUUACCCUAUUGAUGAUAGUGUCGCGAUGGUAAUUCAACCUAGUACGAGAGGAACCGUUGAUUCGCACAAUUGGUAAUCGCGCUUGGUUGAAAAGCCAGUGGCGCGAAGCUACCGUGCGCUGGAUUAUGACUGAACGCCUCUAAGUUAGAAUCCGGGUUAGAAGCGAUGCAUGCACCCCGCUUGAUGCCGUCCUACAGUAGGGGCUUCGGCCCCCAAGGGCACGUGUCGUAGGCUAAGCUAGCGCGGCGGAUGCGCCGUGACGGUCGCCUUGAAGUACAAUUCCUACCGAGCGGCAGGUUAAAUCCUUUGCAGACGACUUAAAUACGCGACGGGGUAUUGUAAGUGGCAGAGUGGCCUUGCUGCCACGAUCCACUGAGAUUCAGCCUUAUGUCGCUCCGAUUCGU